rnacentral:misc_RNA from 1 species
GUGACUGGUUAGUAACAGCCUCACACAUUGAACACUGUAUGUGGAUCAGUUUUGUUCAACCCUGCCCAAAAAGAUUACAAAAGUAAAAGUAAAACUAGUAAUGUGGACAAUGGUUAUGCAUUUACUAGAUUUUUCUUAAUACCAGAACUUUACUUGUGCUGAAAUUGGCUAAGGCAUAUACAAAUACCUUAAAUGAACUUUACUUCUGAAUC